AUGAAGGUGGCAGGAGAGCGAUGGGUAACCAUCCACCGAAGAAGUAAAUCUUUCAGGUACCGGGUAACCGGUGUGGACUG
rfam:Aeromonas diversa 2478-85 Contig 3, whole genome shotgun sequence.